UACGAGUGCCCCAAGCGUUAUCCGGAAUUAUUGGGCGUAAAGGGUGCGUAGGCGGUUGUGUUAGUCUCAUGUCAAAUUCUUCGGCUUAACCGGGGUACCGCAUGGGAUACGGCACAACUAGAGGAUGCGAGGGGUGAGUGGAACUCAUGGAGUAGGGGUGAAAUCCGUUGAUAUCAUGGGGAACACCGAAAGCGAAGGCAGCUCACUGGCGCACUCCUGACGCUGAAACACGAAAGCGUGGGUAGCGAAUGGG
rnacentral:rRNA from 1 species